rnacentral:lncRNA from 1 species
UCUUUUUCAAAUAGUUUGUUUCAGUGAACAAAAAUGCUACUGCUUCUCAUAUGUUGAUUUUGUAUCUUGCAACUUUACUAUAACCACUUACUAGCUAUGACAAUUUUGGUGGGAAUUUCUUAGGGUUUACUACAUUUAGGAUCAUGCGGUCUGCAAUCAGAGACAAUUUAACUUUUUUCUUUCCAAUCUGGAUGCCUUUUAUCCUGAAUAAUUUUCUAUGUGGUCUUAAUAAGAAAAAUUAUUAUUCUGCUGCUGCUGAACAUAAUGAUCUGCUUGGGCCAUUGGUAUAAAGUGCAGUUCAAGUCCAGUGUUUCCAUAUACACACACACACACACACACACACACACAUGCAUACACAAUUAUUGUAUCUUCUUAAAGAACUUCUUGGAAAGCCUUUAACAAUAUAUAAUGACAUGUUGGUCUCAUUUUAGUUUUUGACUUACAGUCUAUUUUAUCUGCUGUAAAUAUAGUGGCCUCUGCUCUCUUUUGGAUUUCAAUUGCAUCAGAUGUUUUUCCAUUCUUUCACUUUCAAUCUAUGUGUCUCCUUAAUGGUGAAGUGAGUCUCUUGGAGGCAGCAUAUAGUUAGAUCUUGAGGGUUUUUGGUUGGUUGGUUGGUUGGUUGGUUUGGUUUUUGUUUUUUAUUUUUCAUUCAGCCACUUUAUGUCUUUUGAUUACAGAAUUUAAUCCAUUUAUCUUAAAGGUGAUUAUUGAUGGAUAAAGAUUUACUACUGCUAAUUAUUCAUUUUUCUUGUUGCUUUGUAGAUCUUUUAUUUUUCUUCCUCUCUGGAUGUUCAAUCAUCAUCUCCCUUUCUGGGGUUCCCAGUAGGAAUAGCUCUUGUUUACUUGCAGGGCAAGAGAUCCUUGUAUUCUUAGUGGAAUAGGCUGAUAGGAACUAUGGGGGUUCCCACCCUGUAGCUAAUAGUGAUAAUCUUUAUUUUUUACUCCUAGCUGUUUCCUGGCAUCUCAGGUAUGCCAGUCUCAUCAACCAUGUUUUAUAUGUGGACAUUCUCCUUUGCUGUUCUUGUUGUUUGUUUCUUUGUUCCACUCUAUUGCCUCCAAUCUUUUAAUGUGAGCUUGAACCUCUUGGCUAUUUCUGUUUGUGAAUAGUUGUCUAUAUUUGAUUUUCUGUGGAGUUUCAUAACCCCACUAGUAACCCCACUCUGCCCUCUGUGUGACAUUACUCAAGAAAUUAUAUUUUUAAAAUUGAAAUUUUAGAACUGGAAAGUACAAAAUCUGAUUUAAAAAUGUUACUAGAGGCCAGGCACAGUGGCUUAUGCCUAUAAUCUCUGCACUUUGCAAGGCCAAGGCAGACAGAUCACAUGGUUAAGAGUUUGAGAACAACCUGACCAAUAUGGUGAAACCCCGUCUCUACCAAAAAUAGAAGAAAAAUUAGCUGGGCGUGGUGGCACAUUUCCGUAGUCCCGGCUACUUGGGAAGCUGAGGCAGAGGAAUCACUUGAACCCAGGAAAUGGAGGUUGCAGUGAGCUGAGAUCACACCACUGUGCUCCAGCCUGGGUGACAGGGUGAGACUCCAUCUCAAAACAAACAAAAAUGUUAGAAACUAGGCUUAUAAGCAGAGUAGAGAUGUCAGUGGAAAGAGUGAACCUGUAGAUAGGACAAUGUAAACUAUCCAAAUGAAGAAGAAAGAGGAAAAAAAAGAUUGAAAACAGACUGAACAGCACCUCAAGGACCUUUGGAAUAGUAUUAAAAUGUCUAACUGGAAUUAUAUGGUUUUCAGGUUGAAAUGUUACCUCUAGUGUUGGAGAUGGGCCUAGUGGGAGGUGUCUGAGUCGUGGAGGCAGAUCCAUCAUGAAUGGCUUGGUGCUUUCCUCAGGGUAAUGAGUUCUCACUCUAUGAGUUCAUGUUAGAUUUAGUUGUUUAAGAGCUAAGCACCUCCCCCCUCUUUCUCUUGCUGCCUCUUCUCACCAUAUGAUAUGCUAGCUCCCCUUCACCUUCUGCCAUUAUUGUAAGCUUCCUGAGGCCCUAACCAAAGCAGGUGCCAGCACUGUGCUUUGACUACAGCCUACAGAAUCAUGAUCCAAAUAAACCUUUUUUUAUCCAGUCUCAGAUAUUUCUGUAUAGCAAUGCUAAACUAACACAAGGAUUAAGAGGAGUCCCAGAAAGAGAACACAGAAUGGUAGAGAUAAUAUAUUUGAAAAAACACGGCCAAAAACUUCCUAAAUUUUGUGAAGAUGUAAAUAUUCAAAUUCAAUUAUUUCAACACACCAAACAGAAUAAAUAUGAAAUUAAUAAUGCAUCCAUAUCAAAUUGGUGGGAACCAAAGACAAAGAUAAAAUCUUGAAAACAGAGGAAACAACACAAUGGAUACAGAAUUCAAAUAACUGCUGUGCUCUCAUCAGAAACAAAAACUGCAUAAAAAAGUAGAACAUCUUUAAAGUGCUUAAAUUUAAAAAAAAAUUGUCAAAUUGAACUUUUAUAUCCAGGAAGAAUAUCCUUCAAAAAUACAGGAACAAUAAAAACACAUUUAAGUAAGAGAAGACUCAGAGUAUUUAUUAUUAGAAAGACCUAUAUUACAAGAAAUGGUAAAGAAAUUUCCUCAGGCUGAAGGAAAAUAACACUAGAUAGAAACUUGAAUCUUUAGGAAGAACUGAGGAAAAUGAUAAAUAUCUGGUUAAAUACAAAAGAUUACUUUCUCCUUUUAAUUUAUUUAUCACAUACUGUUUAAAUCUGUGUUUAAACUUUAUGGUUUAUAAUGUAUGCAGAUAUGUAACAUAUGAAAAUUACAGAACGAAAAAAGGCGGGAAUUGGUAAAGGGGCCUAUACAGUUAAAAUAUUUCUAUUAUGUUGGUUCAAAACUAAUGGAAAAAUCACGAUAACUUUUGCACCAACCUAAUAUAUUUUAAUUUGAGUAAAAAAAUAUUAACAGUAAUUAAAGUAUGGGAAAUUAUGGCUGAAUACUGUAACACAUAGAUUAACCACUAAAAUUCACAUAACACAAAAGAGCAUAGCUAAAAACCCAAUGUAUACGACAUAAUUCUAAAAAUUAUAAAAAUAUUUGUGUACUCUAGAAUAAGGCAGCAAAGGAGAAACAAAGGAAAAACAGAGAAAGAAAAAGAAAAAUAAAAUUUUUACAUGAUAGAUGUAAAUCCAAAGAUAAUAAUU